rnacentral:rRNA from 1 species
UACAGAGGGGGCAAGCGUUGUUCGGAAUUACUGGGCGUAAAGGGCGCGUAGGCGGCCUGUUAAGUCGAACGUGAAAUCCCCGGGCUCAACCCGGGAACUGCGUCCGAUACUGGCAGGCUUGAAUUCGGGAGAGGGAUGCGGAAUUCCAGGUGUAGCGGUGAAAUGCGUAGAUAUCUGGAGGAACACCGGUGGCGAAGGCGGCAUCCUGGACCGAGAUUGACGCUGAGGCGCGAAAGCCAGGGGAGCAAACGGG